rnacentral:rRNA from 1 species
UACCAGCACCCCGAGUGGUCGGGACGUUUAUUGGGCCUAAAGCAUCCGUAGCCGGUUCUACAAGUCUUCCGUUAAAUCCAACUGCUUAACAGGUGGGCUGCGGAAGAUACUAUAGAGCUAGGAGGCGGGAGAGGCAAGCGGUACUCGAUGGGUAGGGGUAAAAUCCGUUGUCCAUUGAAGACCACCAGUGGCGAAGGCGGCUUGCCAGAACGCGCUCGACGGUGAGGGAUGAAAGCUGGGGGAGCAAACCGG